rnacentral:rRNA from 1 species
CCUACGGGUGGCAGCAGUGGGGAAUAUUGGACAAUGGGGGGAACCCUGAUCCAGCGACGCCGCGUGAGUGAAGAAGUAUUUCGGUAUGUAAAGCUCUAUCAGCAGGGAAGAAAGUAAUGACGGUACCUGACUAAGAAGCCCCGGCUAACGACGUGCCAGCAGCCGCGGUAAUACGUAGGGGGCAAGCGUUAUCCGGUUUUACUGGGUGUAAAGGGAGCGUAGACGGUUACGCAAGUCUGGAGUGAAAGGCGGGGGCACAACCCCCGAACUGCUUUGGAAACUGUAUAACUGGAGUGCAGGAGAGGUAAGUGGAAUUCCUAGUGUAGCGGUGAAAUGCGUAGAUAUUAGGAGGAACACCAGUGGCGAAGGCGGCUUACUGGACUGUAACUGACGUUGAGGCUCGAAAGCGUGGGGAGCAAACAGGAUUAGAUACCCGGGUAGUC